UCUCAGCUCAAACUAAUGGAGCAUUGUCGGCAUUUGUUCCCGGAUCUUCCUUUGUAAAUAUGCUCUGGAGACGUGGCAUUGAAGUUGGAGAAGAAUCCGUACAGUAUAGGAGGCCCUUAGGCUGUAAAUGCCGGCUAUACCCUUAGAUGCUUCGGGUCACAGAGAUUUCUGGAUACAAUACAGAAGAAACCGGUCAAGAACUGGGAGACUGGAAGAACUUUUGCCUCUUCAAAAGCAAAGGUACAACAGAGCCUAUGAGUUGAAGAUGAAUGAAGGUCGUUGUGAUAAAUGUUUCCCAAAAACUUGUCAUAGAGGAUGGCUGUGCACGCAACAAGCAUAUAAGUACCUGCAGAUGAAUGUUCAAGUCCUUAGCAGUGGUGUUUAAAAAUUCUUCAUUGCCUCAAAGGUGUGGCAUACAACAUUUUGGAAGGGAAAAUGAAGAAUUGGUCAAGAAGACAUGAAUUAAAGCAAAUGACGAAAAGUAGUAUUUUAUUUAACAUUGAUCAUCUCACAAUAAAUUAUGUAGAAAAAUAUAA